rnacentral:rRNA from 1 species
UUCCGGUUGAUCCUGCCGGACCUGACUGCUAUCGGAUUGAUACUAAGCCAUGCGAGUCAUUGUAGCAAUACAAGGCAGACGGCUCAGUAACGCGUAGUCAACCUAACCUAUGGGACGGGAAUAACCUCGGGAAACUGAGUAUAAUGCCCGAUAGAACAUUAUGCCUGGAAUGGUUUAUGUUCCAAAUGAUUUAUCGCCGUAGGAUGGGACUGCGGCCUAUCAGUUUGUUGGUGAGGUAAUGGCCCACCAAGACUAUUACAGGUACGGGCUCUGAGAGGAGUAGCCCGGAGAUGGGUACUGAGACACGGACCCAGGCCCUAUGGGGCGCAGCAGGCGAGAAAACUUUGCAAUGUGCGAAAGCACGACAAGGUUAAUCCGAGUGGUUUCUGCUAAAGGAACCUUUUGACAGUCCUAAAAACACUGUUGAAUAAGGGGUGGGCAAGUUCUGGUGUCAGCCGCCGCGGUAAAACCAGCACCUCAAGUGGUCAGGAUGAUUAUUGGGCCUAAAGCAUCCGUAGCCGGCUCUGUAAGUUUUCGGUUAAAUCUGUACGCUUAACGUACAGGCUGCUGGGAAUACUGCAGAGCUAGGGAGUGGGAGAGGUAGACGGUACUCGGGAGGAAGUGGUAAAAUGCUUUGAUCUCUCGAUGACCACCUGUGGCGAAGGCGGUCUACCAGAACACGUCCGACGGUGAGGGAUGAAAGCUGGGGGAGCAAACCGGAUUAGAUACCCGGGUAGUCCCAGCUGUAAACUAUGCAAACUCAGUGAUGCACUGGCUUAUGGCCAGUGCAGUGUUGCAGGGAAGCCGUUAAGUUGCCGCCUGGGAAGUACGUACGCAAGUAUGAAACUUAAAGGAAUUGGCGGGGGAGCAC